CGAUGAUCCUGUUCAUGUAGCACAGGCACAAAAGCCUACUAAAAGAAUAUCCAAUCAGUUCUAUUUUCAAAAUCAGUAUUUUGGAGCAGGUUAUCAAUCAGUGGCAGUUUGUGUAACUGAUGGGAGGUCAUGGCUUGUUUGCUGUCACCAGCAGAUGGCGCUCUGUCAAUGCCACAUGGGAGCUUCCUUGUUCACCCUGCAGCCUUGUGUCUGCUAUCCAGAUGGACUCAUUACAAUGAUUCCCACACAGCUGAGAGGCAUCUGCAGAUGACAGGAAGGGGCUGACGGAGAAUUGCCAUAUGACCAAUCGAUACUGAGAUGACAGUAGCAGGAUGGUAUGCGUGUUGCUGUCAGAGCUGUUGCUGGUGCCAGGCUUUAUUGAUCAGUCUUAACAGUUAUCCCAGCCCUUUCUACUCGGCCCAGGACUACUGCAGCACAGAAUUAAAUGAAAGAAAUCCCUCAGAGACUACAGAAUGGUCAGUGUGGGGCAGGGAGAGGAAAGGAUGGAGUGAAUGAGUGAAAGAAAGUCUGUUUGAUAAAAAGUCUUCAGGGCUGAGGGCUAGGAUUUCAACAUGUUGAAGAUCUCAGAGCUUCAUUGAUUCAAUGUCUUCCUCUCAGCCUCUCACACUGACCAUCAAACCAUCAAAGAUCACACAGUACUCCUCACCUAUGGAUCAGGCUUCCAGGAACCUGAAGGGUUA